GUCUUCUUCUUCUUUAGUUACGGAAUACCAUCAACUUUUUGAGGAUUACUUUCCGGCGCAUGCCUGUAUGAGGUCGCUUUAAGUUAAUUUCAUUUUUUUUUAUUACUUUUAUUUAUUUAUGAAAUUUACAAUUUUUUUAGUUUCAAUUUUUACAUUUUUUAUAUAUAUUUUUUUUAUAACUAUAAGAUAAAAACAAUAAGCACAUUUAGUUCAGAUGAGAGUAUGUUUUAAGGAGCACCUCAUGAGUGAGUGCAUCCUUAAAGUUGUCUGUAGUGGUUUGGUUUGAGAUAUCGGGUGGUAAUUUGUUCCAAUCUUUGAUUGUUUGGCUGAAAAAAGAAAAUUUAAAGGUGUCUUUAUUACACUGAAGUUGUCUGUAUGUCUGUUGAUGGGUAGUUCUUGUUUUAGACUGGCUUUUUAUGAGUAUAUCUUGCGAUGGUAUUGCAAUUUCAUUGUUGAUGACUUUGUGCAACAUUUGGAGUCUGGUUUUUAGUCUGCGUUCUUGUAAGGAUUGCCAUUUUAGAUGUUCUAUCAUUUCAGAUACACUGCUGGUAUUGU
rnacentral:lncRNA from 1 species